AAGUCUAGACACAAUCAUCAGAUUAAGAUUCAUUUUUAGAUACUUUGGAAUCUAAACACACUCACAGAUCUAAAUUUCAUACCAAAACCAGUGAUGGUGGUUAAAUAUGAGUAAAGAAGCACAUUUGAAAAAUUGGUUUUUGAGUUUGAAUAGAUUGAGUAAAGAAUAUGGGUUAGUUGAAAAGCUGAGACUUGACUUGAAGUGCAUAAGAAGACUAUAUUUUCUUUAGCGAUGAAGAAGAAAGGGAUGAAAUAUUUUAUAAUAAUAAUUAUAUAAAAAGGGUAUUGUAUAGAAGAGGUUAAAGGAAAAAGAUUUGUUUUUUUGGUGAUUUUCUUCUCUGUUGUGUUGUGUUUGUUCUGUUAUUUGUGUGUGUUGUGUUUUUUUUGUUGUGUUUAUUUAAAUAUUAAUGGGAGUGUGUGAAGAAAAAGGAGAUUUGGACCGAAUCUUUUAUUUGGAGUGAUAUAUUCUAUAACAAUUUUUUUUUGUUACUUACUUUUUUUUGUUUGUUUUAUGUUUCUAUUUAUUUUUUUUGACGAAAUGUGUUUCUUUUUUCUAAAUUAAUUAAAAUUUGAUUUGUAUUUUUGUAUUAUUAUUGUUUGUGAUAAUUAUAUAGUUUUAUUAUCGAGACCGGUUCAUUCUAUCGGUUUAAUUCGGUUUAAUCCGGUUUAUCAUGUAGUUCGACCAGUGACCCGAUGGUUCGACCAAUGAACCAGUGAACCAGUACCCUCACCGGUUUGAUGUCCGGUCCGGUUUUUAAAACACUGC
rnacentral:lncRNA from 1 species